CGGCGAACGGGUGAGUAACACGUGAGUAACCUGCCCCAGGCUUUGGGAUAACCCUCGGAAACGGGGGCUAAUACCGGAUAUUCAUGCUUCGCGGCAUCGUGGGGUGUGGAAAGUUUUUCGGCUUGGGAUGGGCUCGCGGCCUAUCAGCUUGUUGGUGGGGUGAUGGCCUACCAAGGCGACGACGGGUAACCGGCCUGAGAGGGCGACCGGCCACACUGGGACUGAGAUACGGCCCAG
rnacentral:rRNA from 1 species